UAUUGCCAGCCGCAGGCAUGACGG
rnacentral:piRNA from 1 species